rnacentral:sRNA from 1 species
ACUUAUUUAUUAUUUUGAAUUGACAAAUCACUUUCAGAAAGAGAAAUUAUUUAUGACCACAAAUGAAAAGUUAAUUUUGAUUAUUAAGAAAGAAUAACUGGAUUGUU